UGGGGAGUACGGUCGCAAGAUUAAAACUCAAAGGAAUAGACGGGGACCCGCACAAGUGGUGGAGCAUGUGGUUUAAUUCGAAGAUACGCGAAGAACCUUACCUGGCCUUGACAUUGAUGGAACCCGGUAGAGAUACUGGGGUGCCUUCGGGAGCCUGAAAACAGGUGCUGCACGGCUGUCGUCAGCUCGUGUCGUGAGAUGUUGGGUUAAGUCCCGCAACGAGCGCAACCCUCGUCACUAGUUACUAACGGUUCGGCCGAGGACUCUAGUGAGACUGCCUUCGCAAGGAGGAGGAAGGUGAGGACGACGUCAAGUCAUCAUGGCCCUUACGGCCAGGGCAACACACGUGCUACAAUGGGUAGGACAAUGAGACGCGAUACCGCGAGGUGGAGCAAAUCUAUAAACCUACUCUCAGUUCGGAUUGUAGUCUGCAACUCGACUACAUGAAGCUGGAAUCACUAGUAAUCGUAGAUCAGCUAUGCUACGGUGAAUACGUUCCCGGGUCUUGUACUCACCGCCCGUCACACCAUGGGAGUUGAUUUCACCCGAAGCGGGGAAGCUAAACUGGCUACCCUCCACGGUGGGAUCAGCGACUGGGGUGAAGUCGUAACAAGGUA
rnacentral:rRNA from 1 species